CCUACGGGUGGCAGCAGUCGAGAAUCAUUCACAAUGGGGGAAACCCUGAUGGUGCGACGCCGCGUGGGGGAAUGAAGGUCUUCGGAUUGUAAACCCCUGUCAUGUGGGAGCAAAUUAAAAAGAUAGUACCACAAGAGGAAGAGACGGCUAACUCUGUGCCAGCAGCCGCGGUAAUACAGAGGUCGCAAGCGUUGUUCGGAAUCACUGGGCGUAAAGCGUGCGUAGGCUGUUUCGUAAGUCGUGUGUGAAAGGCGCGGGCUCAACCCGCGGACGGCACAUGAUACUGCGAGACUAGAGUAAGGGAGGGGGAACCGGAAUUCUCGGUGUAGCAGUGAAAUGCGUAGAUAUCGAGAGGAACACUCGUGGCGAAGGCGGGUUCCUGGACAUUAACUGACGCUGCGGCACGAAGGCCAGGGGAGCGAAAGGGAUUAGAUACCCUUGUAGUC
rnacentral:rRNA from 1 species